UGCCCUUUUUAUUUCUAUAGACCACUUUGGUGGUUUGCCUUCGGGUUCCUGUGCUGCCUACCACUGAAAUGGUAUUCGAUGAUCAAUGAAYAUUUGCUCCAUCCAGGUCUCCUUCCGGAGAUCAUGGUGGAUUAGUGCGAUGCAUGGGUUCCACUUUAGUCCUGUCUCUACGAGACUGUCGUGGCAACUAAUGCGGAUGCYGUUCUUUUGGAUGCGGUGAGUGCAUGCAAUGAACGUGGCUUCGAUUGUCCCGUUUCGUUAUAAAUAUUCGGUUGCCUUAGAAUGACUUGCCCUGGUGCUUGCGUUUUCCGUUCAGGAAGACGAUGCUUGCACCUUGAGCACGGUCAUGAAUGGGUGCUA
rnacentral:misc_RNA from 1 species